UCCCAGUUGUUGUAACAAGUUUGGAACAAGCUGUUAACAACUUGUGACAAACUUGAUGACAUUAUCAAGUUACAAGGUUGUUUUAACAAGUCUGAUACAGUCAUGAUAUAACAAGAAUGUUACAAGGUUGACCACACAAGGUUGUAACAAUACUGUUGUAUCAUGACCGUAUCGGACUUGUUGGAACAACCUUGCGACAAGUCUGAUAUUAUGAACAAAGUUGUUACAAGUUGUUAACAAGUUUUUCAAACUUGUUCAUAACUUGGA